CCAGGGCUCUGGCUGCUCUUUGGUGCCAGAUCCCUCUACGCCUACCCAGCCCCCAUUAUCUCUUCACUCUGCACCUCCCAGUCUUUUCAAUAGUUCACACAUUUCAAAGCCUGAAGAGGAGAAAUUUUGAGAUGGAAAAAACUGACAAGUGUUCAAGGAAUAUAAGAGGAGAAAGGAAAUUUAACAAGAAUAAAGUUUGAGUCCCAAACCCUCUCCUCCUCAACCAGAGAGAAGAACUGACUUACCCAAUGGGACAGAAAGAGAAAGUGACAGACUCAAGACACUGCUUUCCUUGAUACCACACUCUCCAAACUGCAACUGUCUCAUCAGCAAAACCACCCUGUAGAUAGAGAGGGUUUAUUUGGACAUUACUAGGUUUGAAGGAAAAAAUAGGUUUGCGCUUCUCCCCAUCCUACCUGAAAAUUUCAAGUGGGGUUUCUGUAAAGGACCAAAAGAGAAUCAGAGGUUUGAGAGAUGUCAUCUUAGAGGCACAGGGAGACAAAUGAAAGUUUUCAGCUUUUUGACCCACCUGCAUAGAACAAGUUGGCCAAAGCAGGGCAGGGGCAGGUGCAGGUCACUGUGCUCCUGCCCAUUUUUGAGCUUCUGGAAUACAAGCUGUGCCUUUGCCUGGAAUGUCCCUCCCAGUCUGACUAGACAUCUUCUGAUGGAGUUUGACCCGGUCGCUUCUAACACUAGGAUGGACCUCUUGGCAAUUUCUGGAUACCUUUCUGUGGUUUGUUAUCGUGGGAGAAGAAGAAGCGCUUCCAUCUAGAUUGCUGUAUCAGAAUGGACUGCUAUGAUUGCUAAUGGCAGAAACCUAACUCAAUUCAACUAUAAUAAUGAGGGAAAUGUCUCGGAAGCUCUUGAAAUCCAUGGAAGAACCAAAUGAUCCAGGUGCUGGAGGGGCAGCAACAGAGCUGGACCUCAGGUGCUGCUGGAGUCAGAGGCUCAAAUCUCACUAGUCUUCCUUCCAACUUCAUCUCUGUCUUCAUCAGUGUAUUGAUAUUCUUCUCUCUCAAUACAGCCUGGUUCUUUCCACAUAGUCCAAGCACAGCAUUUAUUACACUCUGU
rnacentral:lncRNA from 1 species